AUUGAACGCUGGCGGCAGGCUUAACACAUGCAAGUCGAACGAGUGGCGGACGGGUGAGUAAUGCUUGGGAAUCGAGCUUAUGGAGGGGGAUAACUAGGGGAAACUGUAGCUAAUACCGCGUCACCUAGGAUGAGCACAAGUGGGAUUAGGUAGUUGGUGAGGUAAAGGCUCACCAAGCCGACGCUCUCUAGCUGGUCUGAGAGGGUGACCAUCCACACUGGGACUGAGACACGGCCCAGACUCCUACGGGAUGCAGCAGUGGGGAAUAUUGCGCAAUGGGGGCAACCUGACGCAGCCAUGCCGCGUGAAUGAAGAAGGCCUUCGGGUUGUAAAGUUCUUUCGGUAGCGAGGCGUUAACUACAGAAGAAGCACCGGCUAACUCCGUGCCAGCAGCCGCGGUAAUUC
rnacentral:rRNA from 1 species